AGAGCCAGCCCAACCUCGACGGAGGGUGGGAGGACUAGAGAUUGCGUUCAAUUCGGUGGCAAAUGAGUCAACCAAUUGUGCCUAUGUAAUGAAAACUCUGGACGCCAAAAUUUGGUGGAGCUUCCUGGUUGGUGAACACAUCCAUGUGCCAGGAGGGUGACACAACCUGAUUCACAGAGAGAAGACACAGAAGCUCUGCAUGGAAGACCCGCCCAGACCCCGCCCUACGUGUGUCUUCAUUAGUCUGGUCCUCCUGAUUUGUAUCCUUUGUAACAAGCCUGUAAUCAACUUUCUCAGUUGUGUGUGUGAGUACGCCUGGCUUUUCAUCAAAGAGCUUUGCCGUCUUGAUGCUUCCUUUUCUGUGAACACAGCAAUAAAUAGAUUCUGCAGAACAAAUGAAGAUGGAGCCCAUCCAGAACCCAGCUGUGCUGCUGCAAGG
rnacentral:lncRNA from 10 species